rnacentral:rRNA from 1 species
CGGGGUAGCAAGAGGCUUGCUUCUUUGAGACCGGCGCACGGGUGCGUAACGCGUAUGCAACCUACCUUCAUCUGGGGGAUAGCCCGGAGUAAAUCCGGAUUAACACCGCAUAAAAUCACAGUACUGCAUAGUACAAUGAUCAAAUAUUUAUAGGAUGGAGAUGGGCAUGCGUGUCAUUAGCUAGUUGGCGGGGUAACGGCCCACCAAGGCGACGAUGACUAGGGGAUCUGAGAGGAUGGCCCCCCACACUGGUACUGAGACACGGACCAGACUCCUACGGGAGGCAGCAGUAAGGAAUAUUGGUCAAUGGAGGCAACUCUGAACCAGCCAUGCCGCGUGCAGGAAGACUGCCCUAUGGGUUGUAAACUGCUUUUAUUCGGGAAUAAACCUAUUUACGUGUAAAUAGCUGAAUGUACCGAAGGAAUAAGGAUCGGCUAACUCCGUGCCAGCAGCCGCGGUAAUACGGAGGAUCCAAGCGUUAUCCGGAUUUAUUGGGUUUAAAGGGUGCGUAGGCGGCCUGUUAAGUCA